GUGAACGCUGGCGGCAGGCCUAACACAUGCAAGUCGAACGGCAGCACAGUAAGAGCUUGCUCUUAUGGGUGGCGAGUGGCGGACGGGUGAGGAAUACAUCGGAAUCUACUCUUUCGUGGGGGAUAACGUAGGGAAACUUACGCUAAUACCGCAUACGACCUACGGGUGAAAGCGGAGGACUUCGGGCUUCGCGCGAUUGAAUGAGCCGAUGUCGGAUUAGCUAGUUGGCGGGGUAAAGGCCCACCAAGGCGACGAUCCGUAGCUGGUCUGAGAGGAUGAUCAGCCACACUGGAACUGAGACACGGUCCAGACUCCUACGGGAGGCAGCAGUGGGGAAUAUUGGACAAUGGGCGCAAGCCUGAUCCAGCCAUGCCGCGUGGGUGAAGAAGGCCUUCGGGUUGUAAGCCCUUUUGUUGGGAAAGAAAAGCAGUCGGUUAAUACCCGAUUGUUCUGACGGUACCCAAAGAAUAAGCACCGGCUAACUUCGUGCCAGCAGCCGCGGUAAUACGAAGGGUGCAAGCGUUACUCGGAAUUACUGGGCGUAAAGCGUGCGUAGGUGGUGGUUUAAGUCUGUUGUGAAAGCCCUGGGCUCAACCUGGGAAUUGCAGUGGAUACUGGGUCACUAGAGUGUGGUAGAGGGUAGCGG
rnacentral:rRNA from 1 species